rnacentral:rRNA from 1 species
GCCUACGGGGGGUAGCAGUAGGGAAUCUUCCACAAUGGGCGAAAGCCUGAUGGAGCAACGCCGCGUGGGUGAAGAAGGUCUUCGGAUCGUAAAACCCUGUUGUUAGAGAAGAAAGUGCGUGAGAGUAACUGUUCACGUUUCGACGGUAUCUAACCAGAAAGCCACGGCUAACUACGUGCCAGCAGCCGCGGUAAUACGUAGGUGGCAAGCGUUAUCCGGAUUUAUUGGGCGUAAAGGGAACGCAGGCGGUCUUUUAAGUCCGAUGUGAAAGCCUUCGGCUUAACCGGAGUAGUGCAUUGGAAACU